GACGAACGCUGGCGGCGUGCUUAACACAUGCAAGUCGAACGGAAAGGCCCUGCUUUUGUGGGGUGCUCGAGUGGCGAACGGGUGAGUAACACGUGAGUAACCUGCCCUUGACUUUGGGAUAACUUCAGGAAACUGGGGCUAAUACCGGAUAGGAGCUCCUGCUGCAUGGUGGGGGUUGGAAAGUUUCGGCGGUUGGGGAUGGACUCGCGGCUUAUCAGCUUGUUGGUGGGGUAGUGGCUUACCAAGGCUUUGACGGGUAGCCGGGCUGAGAGGGUGACCGGCCACAUUGUGGCUGAGAUACGGCCCAGACUCCUACGGGAGGCAGCAGUGGGGAAUAUUGCACAAUGGGCGGAAGCCUGAUGCAGCAACGCCGCGUGCGGGAUGACGGCCUUCGGGUUGUAAACCGCUUUCGCCUGUGACGAAGCGUGAGUGACGGUAAUGGGUAAAGAAGCACCGGCUAACUACGUG
rnacentral:rRNA from 1 species